UCGGAUAUGGUGUAGUGGCUAACAUUAUCGCCUCUCAUUAAAUGACCGCGAUAGCCCGGGGUUCAAUUCCCCGUAUCCGAA